rnacentral:rRNA from 1 species
CCUACGGGAUGCACCAGUGGGGAAUAUUGCACAAUGGGCGCAAGCCUGAUGCAGCCAUGCCGCGUGUAUGAAGAAGGCCUUCGGGUUGUAAAGUACUUUCAGCGGGGAGGAAGGCGAUAAGGUUAAUAACCUUGUCGAUUGACGUUACCCGCAGAAGAAGCACCGGCUAACUCCGUGCCAGCAGCCGCGGUAAUACGGAGGGUGUAAGCGUUAAUCGGAAUUACUGGGCGUAAAGCGCACGCAGGCGGUCUGUCAAGUCGGAUGUGAAAUCCCCGGGCUCAACCUGGGAACUGCAUUAGAAACUGGCAGGCUGGAGUCUUGUAGAGGGGGGUAGAAUUCCAGGUGUAGCGGUGAAAUGCGUAGAGAUCUGAAGGAAUACCAGUGGCGAAGGCGGCCCCCUGGACAAAGACUGACGCUCAGAUGCGAAAGCGUGGGGAGCAAACAGGAUUAGAUACCCCGGUAGUC